rnacentral:rRNA from 1 species
GACGAACGCUGGCGGCGUGCCUAAUACAUGCAAGUUGAGCGCUGAAGGUUGGUACUUGUACCAACUGGAUGAGCAGCGCACGGGUGAGUAACGCGUGGGGAAUCUGCCUUUGAGCGGGGGACAACAUUUGGAAACGAAUGCUAAUACCGCAUAAAAACUUUAAACACAAGUUUUAAGUUUGAAAGAUGCAAUUGCAUCACUCAAAGAUGAUCCCGCGUUGUAUUAGCUAGUUGGUGAGGUAAAGGCUCACCAAGGCGAUGAUACAUAGCCGACCUGAGAGGGUGGACGGCCACAUUGGGACUGGGACACGGCCCAAACUCCUGCGGGGAGCAGCAGUAGGGAAUCUUCGGCAAUGGACGAAAGUCUGACCGAACAACGCCGCGUGAGUGAAGAAGGUUUUCGGGUCGGAAAACUCUGUUUGUAGGGAAGAACGUUGGUGAGAGUGGAAAGCUCAUCAAGUGACGGUAACUACCCAGAAAGGGACGGCUAACUACGUG